GGGAACGUGCCCUUUGGUACGGGAUAACUGAGGGAAACUUCAGCUAAUACCGUAUGUGCCCUACGGGGGAAAGAUUUAUCGCCAUUGGAGCGGCCCGCGUUGGAUUAGCUAGUUGGUGGGGUAAAGGCUCACCAAGACUACGAUCCAUAGCUGGUCUGAGAGGAUGAUCAGCCACACUGGAACUGAGACACGGCCCAAACUCCUACGGGAGGCAGCAGUAGGGAAUCUUGCGCAAUGGGCGAAAGCCUGACGCAGCCAUGCCGCGUGAAUGAUGAAGGUCUUAGGAUUGUAAAAUUCUUUCACCGGGGAAGAUAAUGGCGGUACCCGGAGAAGAAGCCCCGGCUAACUUCGUGCCAGCAGCCGCGGUAAUACGAAGGGGGCUAGCGUUGCUCGGAAUUACUGGGCGUAAAGGGCGCGUAGGCGGAUGUUUAAGUCGGGGGUGAAAGCCCGGGGCUCAACCUCGGAAUUGCCUUCGAUACUGGACAUCUUGAGUACGGGAGAGGUGAGUGGAACUCCGAGUGUAGAGGUGAAAUUCGUAGAUAUU
rnacentral:rRNA from 1 species